UACGGGGGGUGCAAGCGUUGUUCGGAAUUAUUGGGCGUAAAGAGCGUGUAGGCGGUUUGUUUAGUCUGAUGUGAAAGCCCUGGGCUCAACCCAGGAAGUGCAUUGGAUACUGGCAGACUUGAAUACGGGAGAGGGUAGUGGAAUUCCUAGUGUAGGAGUGAAAUGCGUAGAUAUUAGGAGGAACACCGGUGGCGAAGGCAGCUACCUGGACCGAUAUUGACGCUGAGACGCGAAAGCGUGGGUAGCAAACAGG
rnacentral:rRNA from 1 species